rnacentral:rRNA from 1 species
AAUCAACGCUGGCGGCGUGCCUCAGACAUGCAAGUCGAACGAUUAAGACUUCCUUCGGGAAGUGCAUAAAGUGGCGCACGGGUGAGUAACACGUAAGUAAUCUACCCUCGAGUGGGGAAUAACGUUCGGAAACGAACGCUAAUACCGCAUAACGCAGCGGCACCGCAAGGUGACAGUUGUUAAAGGAGUAAUUCGCUUGAGGAGGAGCUUGCGGCAGAUUAGCUAGUUGGUAAGGUAACGGCUUACCAAGGCUACGAUCUGUAUCCGGUCUAAGAGGACGGUCGGACACACUGACACUGAAUAACGGGUCAGACUCCUACGGGAGGCAGCAGUCGGGAAUUUUGGGCAAUGGGCGAAAGCCUGACCCAGCAACGCCGCGUGAAGGAUGAAGUAUUUCGGUAUGUAAACUUCGAAAGAAUAGGAAGAAUAAAUGACGGUACUAUUUAUAAGCUCCGGCUAACUACGUGCCAGCCGCCGCAGUAAGAC